rnacentral:tRNA from 12 species
UAAGCUCAGUCGGUAGAGCAUACGCUUGUGAAGUGUAAGGUUGCAGGAACAAUUUCGGUUGUCU